AACGAACGCUGGCGGCAUGCCUAACACAUGCAAGUCGAACGAGACCUUCUUUUCUUGUGUCUCAUGGGUGCGUAACGUGUCGGAACCUGCCCUUAUGUUCGGAAUAACUCCCCGUCAUGGUUCCUAAUACCGGAUAAUUUCUUCUGACCAAAGAUUUAUCGCCUUUGGAUGGGCCCGCGUUCGAUUAGCUGGUUGCUAGGGUAAAAGCCUACCAAGGCGACGAUUCAUAGCUGGUUUGAGAGGAUGAUAAGCCACAGUUGGACAGGGACACGGCCCAGACUGCGACGGGAGGAAGGAGUGGGGAAUAUUGGACAAGGGGCGAAAGGCUGAUGAAGCAAUGCCGCGUGAGUGAUGAAGGCAUUAGGGUUGUAAAGCUGAUUUACCCGGGAUGAUAAUGACAGUACCGGGAGAAUAAGCUCCGGCUAACUACGUG
rnacentral:rRNA from 1 species